CUGAGGUCGUGGUCCUGCCCCGCCCCGGAAGGCCAGGAUCGGGCCUGGAGAGCAGCCUUGGAGGGCAGUCUCUUUAUCCCGGACCCACCCACUCCUGUUCGAGGCCUGGAGAAGGGCGUCGGUCUGUCCUUCCUGUGUGUUAGCCGUAACCUAAGUGAUGGGAACACCUUCUAGAAAAUUCGGAACCCAAAACCAUAAAGAAGACCGUACAUCGCACCAUUAUUCAAACAUUAUAGAAAUGCUAACGUCCACGGCUGAAUGUCUUAGGAAAAGCACGGCUUAUGGGGCCAUUUCCGGCGGGAAAAGAAGACCGGGCCUGGGCAAGGAGUCUAACCACCUGCAGCAGCGCCCGGAGGACAAGGCACCCUGCAGUCCUGGAGCUAACCGGCUCUUUCAUGGAAACAGUUUGGGGAAGAAAGAUGACAGAAGCAAAUGAAAGUGUGGGCCUCCGGUCAAUAAUUUAAUUCAAGUGCACAAACAUUUGAGAGCUGCCUGCGAGUUAUGGCUGGACAGUAAACGAACCAGAUAGCGACCUCGUUGCCAGGAUUCCAGGCCCACUGGUGUUGGAAGCGUGAAAUGAACCGAAACCCUGCCAUCAUUCUACAGAGAACC